AGAGUUUGAUCAUGGGCUCAGGACGAACGCUGGCGGCGUGCCUAAUACAUGCAAGUCGAGCGGAGAUAAAGGAGCUUGCUCCUUUAUUUUAGCGGCGGACGGGUGAGUAACACGUGGGCAACCUGCCCUGCAGAUUGGGAUAACUCCGGGAAACCGGGGCUAAUACCGAAUAACAUGGGAAACCACAUGGUUUCCUUUUGAAAGGCGGCUUCGGCUGUCACUGCAGGAUGGGCCCGCGGCGCAUUAGCUAGUUGGUGAGGUAACGGCUCACCAAGGCAACGAUGCGUAGCCGACCUGAGAGGGUGAUCGGCCACACUGGGACUGAGACACGGCCCAGACUCCUACGGGAGGCAGCAGUAGGGAAUCUUCCGCAAUGGACGAAAGUCUGACGGAGCAACGCCGCGUGAGUGAAGAAGGUUUUCGGAUCGUAAAACUCUGUUGUCAGGGAAGAACAAGUACCGGAGUAACUGCCGGUGCCUUGACGGUACCUGGCCAGAAAGCCACGGCUAACUACGUGCCAGCAGCCGCGGUAAUACGUAGGUGGCAAGCGUUGUCCGGAAUUAUUGGGCGUAAAGCGCGCGCAGGCGGUCUUUUAAGUCUGAUGUGAAAGCCCACGGCUCACCGGGGAAGGUCAUUGGAAACUGGAAAACUUG
rnacentral:rRNA from 1 species